rnacentral:rRNA from 1 species
CGCUGGCGGCGUGCUUAACACAUGCAAGGUCGAACGGGGCAAAGUGAUAGCUUGCUAUUAUGGAGCCUAGUGGCAAACGGGUGAGUAACGCGUAGGCAACCUGCCCUUCAGAUGGGGACAACACCUCGAAAGGGGUGCUAAUACCGAAUGACGUUGCGCUGUCGCAUGACGGUGCAACCAAAGGCCGGGCAACCGGUCACUGAAGGAUGGGCCUGCGUCUGAUUAGCUAGUUGGUGGGGUAACGGCCCACCAAGGCGACGAUCAGUAGCCGGUCUGAGAGGAUGAACGGCCACAUUGGGACUGAGACACGGCCCAAACUCCUACGGGAGGCAGCAGUGGGGAAUCUUCCGCAAUGGGCGCAAGCCUGACGGAGCAACGCCGCGUGAGUGAAGAAGGUCUUCGGAUCGUAAAGCUCUGUUGAGAGGGACGAGAGACAUAAUCAGGAAAUGGGUUAUGGAGGACGGUACCUUUCGAGGAAGCCACGGCUAACUACGUG